CAGCCGCCGCGGUAAUACGAAGGGGGCUAGCGUUGUUCGGAUUUACUGGGCGUAAAGCGAACGUAGGCGGACUUUUAAGUCAGGGGUGAAAUCCCGGGGCUCAACCCCGGAACUGCCUUUGAUACUGGAAGUCUUGAGUAUGGUAGAGGUGAGUGGAAUUCCGAGUGUAGAGGUGAAAUUCGUAGAUAUUCGGAGGAACACCAGUGGCGAAGGCGGCUCACUGGACCAUUACUGACGCUGAGGUGCGAAAGCGUGGGGAGCAAACAGGAUUAGAUACCCCCGUAGUCCCUGUCUCUUAUAC
rnacentral:rRNA from 1 species